CAGCUGCAGCAUUGAAGAUGUGUGAAGAAUCUUCACAAGACAAAUGUCAGUUGCAGAGAGUGAGGUCAACAUCUUUUAAUACACCAAACUCUAGAGAUUCUGAGGUGUGAUGCAUGCACAUUUGACACUUGCCUUGGGGGAGCUCUCUCAAUAGUAUCGAGUGCUUCAAAAUUCCCUGAUGGCCAUGAGGG